GACAGAGGUGCCGAGCGUUAGGCGGAAUCACUGGGCUUAAAGCGUGUGUAGGCGGAAGCGUAAGUGCCUUGUGAAAUCCCACGGCUCAACCGUGGAACUGCUGGGCAUACUGCGUUUCUUGAGCCAAUCAGGGGUCGUCGGAACAAACGGUGGAGCGGUGAAAUGCGUAGAUAUCGUAAGGAAGACCAGUGGCGAAGGCGGGUCUCUGGACAGUUCCUGACGCUGAGGCACGAAGGCCAGGGGAGCAAACGGG
rnacentral:rRNA from 1 species